UACGUAGGGUGCGAGCGUUAAUCGGAAUUACUGGGCGUAAAGCGUGCGCAGGCGGUUUUGUAAGCCAGAUGUGAAAUCCCCGGGCUCAACCUGGGAAUGGCAUUUGGGACUGCAAGGCUGGAGUUUGGCAGAGGAGACUGGAAUUCCUGGUGUAGCAGUGAAAUGCGUAGAUAUCAGGAGGAAUACCGAUGGCGAAGGCAGGUCUCUGGGCUAUAACUGACGCUCAUGACACGAAAGCGUGGGGAGCAA
rnacentral:rRNA from 1 species